GGUCCCAUAGUUCAACGGAUAGAAUACGAGUUUCCUAAACUUUAGAUCCGAGUUCGAUUCUCGGUGGGACUA
rnacentral:tRNA from 1 species